rnacentral:rRNA from 1 species
AGUGAACGCUGGCGGUAGGCCUAACACAUGCAAGUCGAACGGCAGCACAGGAGAGCUUGCUCUCUGGGUGGCGAGUGGCGGACGGGUGAGGAAUACAUCGGAAUCUACUCUGUCGUGGGGGAUAACGUAGGGAAACUUACGCUAAUACGGCAUACGACCUACGGCUGAAAGCAGGGGAUCUUCGGACCUUGCGCGAUUGAAUGAGCCGAUGUCGGAUUAGCGAGUUGGCGGGGUAAAGGCCCACCAAGGCGACGAACCGUAGCUGGUCUGAGAGGAUGAUCAGCCACACUGGAACUGAGACACGGUCCAGACUCCUACGGGAGGCAGAAGUGGGGAAUAUUGGACAAUGGGCGCAAGCCUGAUCCAGCCAUACCGCGUGGGUGAAGAAGGCCUUCGGGUUGUAAAGCCCUUUUGUUGGGAAAGAAAUCCAGCUGGCUAAUACCCGGUUGGGAUGACGGUACCCAAAGAAUAAGCACCGGCUAACUUCGUGCCAGCCGCCGCGGUAA